rnacentral:rRNA from 2 species
CGGACGGGUGAGUAACGCGUGAGAAUCUGGCUUCAGGUCGGGGACAACAGUUGGAAACGACUGCUAAUACCGGAUGUGCCGAAAGGUGAAAGGUUUACUGCCUGAAGAUGAGCUCGCGUCUGAUUAGCUAGUUGGUGUGGUAAGAGCGCACCAAGGCGACGAUCAGUAGCUGGUCUGAGAGGAUGAUCAGCCACACUGGGACUGAGACACGGCCCAGACUCCUACGGGAGGCAGCAGUGGGGAAUUUUCCGCAAUGGGCGAAAGCCUGACGGAGCAAUACCGCGUGAGGGAGGAAGGCUCUUGGGUUGUAAACCUCUUUUCUCAGGGAAUAAAAAAAUGAAGGUACCUGAGGAAUAAGCAUCGGCUAACUCCGUGCCAGCAGCCGCGGUAAUACGGAGGAUGCAAGCGUUAUCCGGAAUGAUUGGGCGUAAAGCGUCCGCAGGUGGCACUGUAAGUCUGCUGUUAAAGAGCAAGGCUCAACCUUGUAAAGGCAGUGGAAACUACAGAGCUAGAGUACGUUCGGGGCAGAGGGAAUUCCUGGUGUAGCGGUGAAAUGCGUAGAGAUCAGGAAGAACACCGGUGGCGAAAGCGCUCUGCUAGGCCUGUACUGACACUGAGGGACGAAAGCUAGGGGAGCGAAUGGGAUUAGAUACCCCCUGUAGUCCUAGC